rnacentral:rRNA from 1 species
GACCGAUAGUGAACCAGUACCGUGAGGGAAAGGCGAAAAGAACCCCGGCGAGGGGAGUGAAAAAGAACCUGAAACCGUGUACGUACAAGCAGUGGGAGCACGCUUAGGCGUGUGACUGCGUACCUUUUGUAUAAUGGGUCAGCGACUUAUAUUCUGUAGCAAGGUUAACCGAAUAGGGGAGCCGAAGGGAAACCGAGUCUUAACUGGGCGUUAAGUUGCAGGGUAUAGACCCGAAACCCGGUGAUCUAGCCAUGGGCAGGUUGAAGGUUGGGUAACACUAACUGGAGGACCGAACCGACUAAUGUUGAAAAAUUAGCGGAUGACUUGUGGCUGGGGGUGAAAGGCCAAUCAAACCGGGAGAUAGCUGGUUCUCCCCGAAAGCUAUUUAGGUAGCGCCUCGUGAAUUCAUCUCCGGGGGUAGAGCACUGUUUCGGCAAGGGGGUCAUCCCGACUUACCAACCCGAUGCAAACUGCGAAUACCGGAGAAUGUUAUCACGGGAGACACACGGCGGGUGCUAACGUCCGUCGUGAAGAGGGAAACAACCCAGACCGCCAGCUAAGGUCCCAAAGUCAUGGUUAAGUGGGAAACGAUGUGGGAAGGCCCAGACAGCCAGGAUGUUGGCUUAGAAGCAGCCAUCAUUUAAAGAAAGCGUAAUAGCUCACUGGUCGAGUCGGCCUGCGCGGAAGAUGUAACGGGGCUAAACCAUGCACCGAAGCUGCGGCAGCGACACUGUGUGUUGUUGGGUAGGGGAGCGUUCUGUAAGCCUGCGAAGGUGUGCUGUGAGG